GAUGAACGCUGGCGGCGUGCCUAAUACAUGCAAGUCGAGCGGACGGACGAGGAGCUUGCUUCUCUGAUGUUAGCGGCGGGCGGGUGAGUAACACGUGGAUAACCUACCUAUAAGACUGGGAUAACUUCGGGAAACCGGAGCUAAUACCGGAUAAUCUUUUGAACCGCAGGGUUCAAAAGUAAAAGACGGUCUUGCUGUCGGUUGUAGCUGGUUCCGCGCUGCAUGAGCUGGUUGGUGGGGUAGUGGCUUACCAAGGCAACGACGGGUAGCCGGCCUGAGAGGGUGACCGGCCACAUUGGGACUGAGAUACGGCCCAGACUCCUACGGGAGGCAGCAGUGGGGAAUAUUGCACAAUGGGCGGAAGCCUGAUGCAGCAACGCCGCGUGCGGGAUGACGGCCUUCGGGUUGUAAACCGCUUUCGCCUGUGACGAAGCGUGAGUGACGGUAAUGGGUAAAGAAGCACCGGCUAACUACGUG
rnacentral:rRNA from 1 species